CUUUUUUCCAGAGUUGAUGACACUUAACAAUAUGUGCAGGCAGGACUGAAAAAAGGUGUGGUGCCUUCCAGCCCACAAAUCAAAGAUUAGCAGGACCAGAAAAUCAAUAUGAAGAAAGCAUUUACUGAGUGUCAUCACCAAGACGGCAAAAUAGAAGGCAACCUGCUCAUAUCCCCCAACUACAAUAUGGGUACAAGAAUUUUUGUACCCAUCUCCAGUCGAAAGUCCGUCAGUGGGAGCCUCAGGAUUCAGUUUUCUCUUGCUGCUGCCAUGUAAGAAGUGCCUUUUGCCUCCUUCCA